CCGAGUUUACAACUCCCAAACCCAUGUGAGCAUACCUACUGUUGCUUCGGCGGGAUUGCCCCGGGCGCCUCGUGUGCCCCGGAUCAGGCGCCCGCCUAGGAAACUCAACUCUUGUUUUAUUUUGGAAUCUUCUGAGUAGUUUUUACAAAUAAAUAA
rnacentral:misc_RNA from 1 species